ACGUAGGGUGCAAGCGUUAAUCGGAAUUACUGGGCGUAAAGCGCGCGUAGGCGGAUCAGGAAGUUGGGGGUGAAAUCCCGGGGCUCAACCCCGGAAUGGCCUUCAAAACUCCUGGUCUUGAGUUCGAGAGAGGUGAGUGGAAUUCCGAGUGUAGAGGUGAAAUUCGUAGAUAUUCGGAAGAACACCAGUGGCGAAGGCGACUUACUGGACGAUUGUUGACGCUGAGGUGCGAAAGCGUGGGGAGCAAACAGGA
rnacentral:rRNA from 1 species